rnacentral:rRNA from 1 species
UACGGAGGGUGCAAGCGUUAUCCGGAAUUACUGGGUUUAAAGGGUGCGUAGGCGGCUAUGUAAGUCAGGAGUGAAAGUUUGCGGCUCAACCGUAAAAUUGCUUUUGAUACUGCAUGGCUAGAAUUAGGUUGAGGUUAGCGGAAUGUGGCAUGUAGCGGUGAAAUGCAUAGAUAUGCCAUAGAACACCAAUUGCGAAGGCAGCUGGCUAGACCUGGAUUGACGCUGAGGCACGAAAGCGUGGGGAGCGAACAGG